AGUGCACAAUUACACACUCACCGCUCCGCUGAAACAUCACAAUUACAAUUCAAAUAUUUAAUUCACAUCUCCAAAAAUGCAGUUGUACUGUAAUUAUGAAACGGUUAAAUUUUUAAUUGAAAUGCACUGCAGAUAUGAGUGAAAUUGUGUAAAGUAACUCCAUCACACUGUAUAAAGCUAUGAUAAAUUUUUUGAUAUUUUUACUGAAAACAAGACAAAAAUACCAAGUAAUUUUUGCAGUGUGACUCCAUUAAAUGUGUGUGUGUGUGUGUAGAUUAAACAUGAACGGGCCAAAACGGACAUGGCAGCAGGUCAAAAUCAAAUACAAGAACAUUCUGCAGAAUGCAGUGAAAAAGAAUACCCACAGACAAGGCACGGGUGGUGGGUCACCAAAGGCUGACCUUACCCCAGCAGAGGACAUGGCCUUGGAGCUAAAUAAAGGCAGGCCCGUCUUAGAGGGGAUCCCUGGGGGAAAGAGACGAGCAUAGGUUCCUACCAAGAUGCCACCCGCUUCAUUCAAGUGCCUGGCAGCACUGUGUUCCUGUUAGAGCCACCAGCACAAGCACCAGACGAUGCUGAUCCAGGUGAAGGCCCCAGUGCAGCAGCAACAGCACAUGAUGGAGACGAUGAUGAGGAGGAGACCAUCUCUCUGGAUUCCAGAAGGCAUGAGGACCCAGAUGCUAUACAGUGGGAAAACCAGCCUGGCAACAUAGUGCGUAUUAAUAAAAGGACACCACAUCCUGCCAAAUUCCAGCUGCGCUAAUUGUAUUGUGUUCACAGAGCUCACAAGCUAUCAGAAAGUUGUAUGGCAACCACCUCCGGCGCCAAAUAGAACUGGCAGACAUAGACAUUCAGUACAAGAAGAAAAGAUGGAAAAUCUUGC